rnacentral:tRNA from 1 species
GGGGCAUUAGCUCAAUUGGUAGAGCGCCGCCUUUGCAAGGCGGAGGUCAGGGGUUCGAUUCCCCUAUGCUCCAC